UGGGGAAUAUUGCACAAUGGACGGAAGUCUGAUGCAGCAACGCCGCGUGCGGGAUGACGGCCUUCGGGUUGUAAACCGCUUUUUUUCAUGACGAAGUUUUUUGACGGUAGUGGGGGAAGAAGCACCGGCUAACUACGUGCCAGCAGCCGCGGUGAUACGUAGGGUGCGAGCGUUGUCCGGAAUUAUUGGGCGUAAAGAGCUUGUAGGCGGUUUGUCGCGUCGAUAUUGCAAACUCAGUGCUUAACGCUGAGCCUGCUGUUGAUACGGGCAGACUAGAGGAAGGUAGGGGAGGAUGGAAUUCCCGGUGGAGCGGUGGAAUGCGCAGAUCUCGGGAGGAACACCGGUGGCGACGGCGGUUCUCUGGGCCUUUCCUGACGCUGAGAAGCGAAAGCGUGGGGAGCGAGCAGG
rnacentral:rRNA from 1 species